GGGGCUCGCGUGCAGCUUGCAUGCCUGCAGGUCGACGAUUUUCUGGUUGAUCCCGCCGGACCCCACUGCUAUCGAGGUGGGACUAAGCCAUGCUAGUCGUACGCUUCCAACUAGGGAAGAGUGGCGUACUGCUCAGUAACACGUAGCUAACCUAACCUUGGGACGGGGACAACCCCGAGAAAUUGGGGCUAAUCCCCGAUAGGCGUGGAGGCCUGGAAUGGUUCUACGCUAAAAGGCACGGCGACCAUGUUUAUCGUGUGCCCAAGGGUGGAGCUGCGGCCGAUCAGGCAGUUGGUGAGGUAAUGGCUCACCAAACCUUUGACCGGUACGGGCCAUGAAAGUGGUAGCCCGGAGAUGUGCACUGAGACAAGGGCACAGGCCCUACGGGGCGCAGCAGGCGCGAAACCUCCACAAUGCACUCACGUGCGAUGGGGUUACCUCGAGUGCAUCCUGAAGAAGGAUGCUUUUCCACUGUAUAACUAGCUGUGGGAAUAAAGGGGGGGCAAGACUGGUGUCAGCCGCCGCGGUAACACCAGCCCCCUGAGUGGUGGGGACGUUUAUUUGGCCUAAAGCGUCCGUAGCUGGCUGUAUCCGUUACCCGUCAAAUCCAGCGUCUCAAGCGUUGGGCCGCGGGUGAUACCAUACAGCUAGAGGGUGGGACAGGUGGGCGGUAUUUCUGGGGUAGGGGCGAAAUCCUUUGAUCCCAGGAGGACCACCAGUGGCGAAGGCUGCUCACUAGAACACGCCUGACGGUCAGGGACGAAAGCUGGGGUAGCGAACCGGAUUAGAUACCCGGGUAGUCCCAGCUGUAAACGAUGCUCGCUAGGGUGUUGGGUCGGCCAUGCGCCGCCCCAGUGCCGCAGGGAAGCCGUUAAGCGAGCCGCCUGGGGAGUACGGCCGCAAGGCUGAAACUUAAA
rnacentral:rRNA from 1 species